rnacentral:rRNA from 1 species
GGAGUUAGCCGGUGCUUCUUCUGUGAGUGAUGUCCUUCCUGCCGGCUAUUAACCCGCAGGCCUUCUUCCUCACUGAAAGUGCUUUACAACCCGAAGGCCUUCUUCACACACGCGGCAUGGCUGGAUCAGGGUUGCCCCCAUUGUCCAAUAUUCCCCACUGCUGCCUCCCGUAGGAGUCUGGGCCGUGUCUCAGUCCCAGUGUGGCUGAUCAUCCUCUCAGACCAGCUACGGAUCGUCGCCUUGGUGAGCCGUUACCUCACCAACCAGCUAAUCCGACAUAGGCUCAUCCGAUAGCGCGAGGCCCGAAGGUCCCCCGCUUUCCCCCGUAGGGCGUAUGCGGUAUUAGCCUGGGUUUCCCCAGGUUAUCCCCCACUACCGGGCAGAUUCCUAUGCAUUACUCACCCGUCCGCCGCUCGCCACCAGGGAGCAAGCUCCCCGUGCUGCCGCUCGACUUGCAUGUGUUAGGCCUGCCGCCACGCGUCAUCUGAGCCACGAAUACAACCUACUACGUACGUAGACGGCGGCGUCGGACGACGGCG